rnacentral:misc_RNA from 1 species
GAAGGUUAUGUUCCUAUGGCUUAUGGAGACUAUCUGGAGAAAAUGAGCAAGACUGGUGAAUGGGGUGAUCAUGUCACAUUGCAAGCCGCUGCAGAUUCGUAUGGUGUCAAGAUAUUUGUAGUAACUUCAUUUAAGGAUACAUGUUAUAUUGAGAUCGUUCCAUUCAUUAAGAAGUCCGAGCGAGUUAUUUUCUUGAGCUUUUGGGCAGAGGUGCACUACAAUUCAAUAUAUCCAGGACGAGAGCUACCUCUUUAUGAAACUAAUAAAAAGAAGAAAUGGUGGACACUUGGAAGCUAAAAAUUUGGUGGCAAAUCUCAAGAUUGUAGAUUGUGGCAGUUCUUUAAUGAUGAAGGAGCUUUUCUUUGGUGGAACUUAUUCCAUUCCUUGUGCAAUUUGGUGAACUAGGGAAGAAUGAAUAGGGCUGAUGACAUUUGAGUGCUGUGUGUAUCCAAUUUAACACCCCUUAUCCUAUUGAUUGUCUGAGUUUCUUGCUUCUUUUUUUUUUUUUUUAAUCAGUAUUGUACAUAUUAUGGUCUUAGAUAGAUUUCACAUGGCAGUAGCGUUGAACACUUGUAUGCCUGGGCUGCUAAUGAGAGUAGAAUAAUGGUUGCCUGCG